UAUUACAGAUGGAGGCGAUGUUUCGGACAGUCAUUAGUCUAAAGGUUGCAGCGAUCCCGCACCGCCAUCUUUAUAAGGUUCUGAUCUGAACUCUAUAGAACCAACAGCCUUCACUGGGUGUGGGGAAGACAGAGUUUGGAAGGAGCAGACCGCUGCCAUGUUACAAGGACAUCGGGAUGGCAAAACUAUGGCAACGCCGGGCCAUUUUUCACAGAAGCAGAAUGGACUUCCUCCACAUGUGCCACAAUCUGUACACUCAGCUACUUCUGCCUUUGCACGAGAGCCAGCCAGGGCAUGCUCCGAUACUCCGUGCCUUCAGAGUGAGCCUCAGUUUUGAUAACAGCAAUUCCAGAAGGUAAGAGAAUGGCAGAAUAGCAAGCACUAAGAACAUCAUUUACUGGCUGCCCAUUUUCGACCGGAGUCCCGGAGGACGCAAGAAAAAUCCCUUUGUCUCCAGAACGUUCUAAAAUCGUGGAUGACUCCAAAGGCACACCAGCUCUCCAUAUCAAUAUUAACAGUUUGUCCUUCAGAUAACUGGCGAGCUCAGAAGACAACUUGACACCGAAAUCUACUCCCAGCAGAACACGCUAUCUGGCUAUCACUCUUCCGAAAGAGGAAAGCACUCCGUCUAAAUUCCCACUACCUUCUUUUCCUGCAAGUCAGACCUUUGGGUUUUAAGAAAGCAGCCUACAUGCUCAGCUCUGUUUUCCUGCGAGGAUUCAAAAAGGGGGGCCAGCUCUGUAAUGAUCGCUUUCUUGUAGGAAGAGGUCACCCCUGACCCACAAUCAUUAGAGUGUGAACUUUGAGUCAUGGCUCUGCCCUGAUCCAUAAGCAUUCAUCCAGAGCUUCUAGGUGACAAAUGGCACACAACUGCAAAAUUCAAGCCUCUGGCCACUGACCAGAAUAGAGCUAAUUUAUCCCUAUAAGAUUUAUGGUUUAAGUCUCUGCUAAUGGCAUCAGCAAACUGGCUUUAGACUCUUAACUUUUACUCGUCUUGAUCUGGGAAACAUAAGUUCUCUUCUAUUUCACCGUGGUAUUAAUUUAAAGUACUGUAUCCCCUAAAUCACAAGCCCAAAAAUAGUGGCCCAUGGGUAUAUUUACUUUAAUCAUCGCUAUGUUUAAAACCUGUUUGAAUUAAUGCCAACAUUUGGAAUCUAGACAGUUCUCAUAAAAAUUCAGAUUAUUGGCUUCUCUCAAAAUGUCAAAAGCCCUAGCCAUUCGGGGUCCACAUUCCGGGCCACAGCCAGAAGAAAUUGAAUGGAGUAACCCGCUUCAGCAGAGACAAGUCUCCAUAACUCACCAGUCUCCUAUCCAAGUCUCUUCACUCCUUUACAUUAUUCCUGGCCCCCAUAGGCAUUUGGGUUUACGAAGCCUGCCCUCAUCAAAUAGCCUCCGAAGCCCAGGAUUCUGCCUGGAGGCAACAAUGCUAGACAUGGGCAGCAGCUGGAAGAAUCUCCAUACAGGCUGCAUAUAAUAAUUCUGGUUCCGGGCAGGAUCGCUCAACCCUGUCCUUUGCCACACCCUUUCUAUUGGCAGGAUACUGGCACAACACAGAGCUUCACCGGCAUACAGUGGGAUUUCAUUCAGAGGGAGAUCUGGGACUUCCACUGUGCUCUAGGACCCUGAUUCCCAUUCUCUCUUUCCAAAUACAAGGGCAGAAAAGUGCUGAGUGAUGUGUUUUAAUGGUCUCCAAAUCUGCAGAAAAAUUCAAUUGACGGACAAGUUUGCUUCUUCUUUCAAACAUCUGUAUUUUCCGCCCCGUGGGUCAGUGCAUUCCACAACGCUAUUUAAUAUUCAAUAAAUCGAGGCAAAUGAAAUUACAAAAAUGGAUCAUCACUUUUAUGGAAAACCAACUAAACAAAUGUUUUGCUUAAAAUGUCAGGCACUAGGGGACUUUAAUAAAAUAUUAAAAGUGAGUUCCCUGGAGGAGAUGAGCAAUUCAAAAAUAGAACAUAUGAGGACAGUGCUAAUUGAUACUUCAAAUAUGAAUGGCACUCCAUGUCCUAAUGGAUGAGGAAUUGUGUUCCCUGAUGAGAUGACACAAAUCACACAGGGGGAAUCUCGGGGGCCCAGUGGACAGCAGCUGUGUAGGAUCUGAGGCUGUGGGUGUGAACAACAGAGGUCCACGGGAAUCCACAGGAGGAAUUAGUUCAAUGCCAUGUAGAACCACACUAUACAGGAUUUAGGGUUAUGAAAGUUUCCCAGAGUCCUAAUUAUAAGGUGUAGUCUGAACCCAGACUGUCUCAACCGAGAUAAAGCUGUGUAGGGAGGCCAGCACUGCAUAGCACUCCUCGUGUUUGCCGAGCCCUUCUUCAAGGACUUAAUUUACCCCACCCUCCCUUCUCCUGAAUUAUCAGUGGUUAAUCUCAUGCUCUCAUUUUGGAGUAACUGCUUAGGUGUGUACCCACUUUGAUGCUUUGUCCCCAAACUCUGAUGAGGUGCUCCCAAAAGGCUAUCCAUUCCAUAGCUAUUUUAGAAAUCCCUAGAGGAGUUUUUUUAGGAAUGCAGAUUCCAGGGUUUAUUCCCAAAGACUCAAACCCAGGAGGUCUUGGUGGGGACCAGGUAUUUACAUAAUGUCCCAGGGGACUCUGAUGUAUGUAUGGUCUGUGGCCAUACCUUAAAUGCUAUCGUAGAAGGCUGAUGCCCACAUUUCAGGAUUCCAUCCCCAGCAACAAUUUAAAAACUUACUUUUGAAGAAACGUAAAACAUAAAAAUCCUGAAUUCAUAAUAGUAUGAAACCUCCUUGUUCUUAUUAGAGGUUGUAUUACUUUGA